UGCAGGCUUUCUGGGUGGUGGGAGAAGAAGUCAAGGAUCCUCCAAGGCUCUUGAAUGUGCGACUUGGGGUUCGGUUUGAGAGCAUGGACCAUGUCCGGGAAUUUCAUUCCGUCACGAACAAAAAAGACAGGGAAAUUGUUUCCAACCAGGUCAAAAUUACCCUGUGUUUAAGAACAAAGUCGCCACAUGAGUACUAACAACACAGCAAAAUAAACCUGAAUAAAGUUGUAUAUAGUGAAUAAUAAUGUUACCAAGAAAUCAACCAUCUGUAUAAGCAUCUAGAUUACAGAUGGUAUGCUACAUGAGCAAUCUUUUACAGCCAGGUGACUACCCCCAUUAGUAAACGAAAAUGAAAAGGCAAAGAAAAGAAAGGAAUGAAUGCAAUCUUUCAUCAAAGUCACAAGACUGCAUAAUUUCCAACAACUAUAAUUAGUCAAAUAUGAAUUGAGUACUUCAUAUUUUGUCACCACAGCCACCUCAGCUGCCACUACAGACACCAAUACAUAUCCACUAAAUAUGCCUAUGCUAUUGAAAAUAAAAAUAAAAUUAACACAUUGAUAAUAUAAAGGUAAAAACCUCACCUCUCUGGUGUAAAACUUCACUGCAAAACCACGAGGAUCCCUCAGGGUUUCAGGGCUGCCACGCUCAUGGAUAACAGUGGAGAAACGCACAAUGACAGGUGUCUGAACACCGGGGGCUCGAAGGAAGUCAGCACAUGUAAGCUGAGAAAUAUCAUGAGUGACCUCGAAGAAUCCCUUCGCACUGGCUCCCCUAGCAUGGACAACACGCUCUGGGAUUCGUUCUCUAUCAAAGUUGGCAAGUUUCUCCACCAGAUGAUAGUCCUCAAGGAGAAUUGGGCCUGACAAAUAGACACAGAAAUUUAAUUCGGAACUGCACCGACUCAACUCACCAUAUUUAAGCAUCUAGAUUACAUGCAAAUAUAGGAUAAAAAUGAAAUUAGUUGUUAUACAUUCCAGAACAUCAAAUAAAGAUGAUUGCUGCUCAGUUGCAAAUAUUCGUAAUUUUUAUUUACAUUUAGAAGGUAGGUUUUCAGACAACCAGAUGAUCAAAAAACCCAUCUUGACAAACCAAAAGGAGGCUGGAGGAAUUAAAAGAGAACCAACAGUGCGGGAGAAUCAUUUUUCAACUAAAGUAAGCAUAAAAUUUUAAAAUAAAUGUCAAUAGGAAAAGGAUCAGCUUCAAAUACAAGAUAUAUAAGUAUAUAUACAUAUCUUAAAUCCCACAAGCGUUUCCAAAGAUUAAUCAUCCUCAACAUGGUAGUGGUGGGAAUAACAUCCAAAAAGCAGUUUACAGCUCAUAAUCACAUGAAUAUCAAAAUCUUGUUCAGAAAAGUUGAGAAAACCAUCACAAAAAUUCAAAACCCAGGUAAGCGAAGAACCAAUGAUAACAAAGAUGAAUAUAUACACACAAAUAGUGAAUAGCAUCAUAAGAUAGAUUGAACAUGAAGCGCAACUAAAAAAACAAUAAAAUAUAAAAUAUAAACUGUGUUGCAAUUGAAAAGCCAGCAUCAAUCAACGAAGAGUUGUGAUGAAUUACCUCUAGAUCCAACAGUCAAAGAAGAGUUGUUGUUCCAAACAGGAGCACCGGAGUUUGUGGUCCAGAAUGGGGAAUCAAAAGCACUUGAAGGGCGGUACUGCAACAUACACAACGAAAACGAAACAAGACCAUGAUGAGCUAAAAGAACAACAAACACAAAAUUUCGAGCUACGCUUAAAUGACCAAUCUGAUUGAUCAAGAAGAUUAAUUCAUCAAGAAAUCAAACUUAAACAAAUCAAGAGAUAUUAUAACAGGGAAAUGAGUACCUUGUAAGGAUCCAUGGAGAAAGAGGGGGAAGGAGGAGUUUGAUAAGAAGGUGAGAGAGCAGAGCAAAGCCACCCAAAGGGAGGGUCGUGUGGCAAAUGAGAAUCGAAGAGCGAAAUGUGAAAUUGGGGAAUUUAUAAACACUUGCGGGUCGUGGGCGUGGCUCGCGCUUCUGCGCAAAUUACCAAUCUCAGCAGGUUAUCUUUAUCCACACACAGAGUGGGAGGUCAAGAGAAGAGAAGACAUAUCUUUGCCAAUUUAGCGUCGCGAGUCAGAACGAUUCUCGCCAAACCUGUCAACGAAGCAUUCUUGUAUGCACAAUUGUGGCAAAACGUCCUUCACUCACUUCAAAUCUUUUACAACCAAUUUUAUGAGGAGGGAUUUUUUUACAAAAAAAAUAAAAAAUUAUACAAUUUUAUGAGGAGAUGGUAUGCAACAAAAAAACAGAGGGGAUUCAGAUUUUUUUUUUUUAAUGGAAAUUAUUGUCCAAAAACAAAAGAAACAUUGAAGAAAUUGAGAGUUCAAUUUAAAAGUAAAAGAGAUCAUUAAAAUGAGUAAAAGAGACUAGAAACACCAUAAUUGACUGUGUAAUUAUAAAAUAUAUGGAGUCGUUUUUUUAUUUUUCAAAUUUUGUGAACAUAUUAUCCCUAAAUAAUGAACACAAAAAUUGAUUUAAAUAUAAUGUUGGUGUUGAUUGCAAUUAAUAAUAGCUAACUAUAGAGAUUUGAUUGAAACAAUUAAAACAUUUCACCACGACAACAAGGUCAAGAAUGCAAGUUGUUUAUUAUUAUGAAUUGGUUUCAAGACGAACAAUUUAACAACAAAUUCCAAACCUCUAUAUUUAGGAUUCAUGCAUUUAUCUACAUUUUAUGAAACUAAGUUGCUCAAAUAAUCUAACCAUUUAACAUGACACAUCAUCAAUUUUUAACCUAAGAUUUUUUUAAAAAAAAAUUGAAGUUAAUUUUAAAGUUAACGUGCUUGAGGGGUUUUUUUUUUCAUCAUGCUUCCUCCUUGAGAAAACUGUGAAUAAAAUUAAUUAAUUGCUACUUAUCUUCAGCUUAUAUAUUGAACCCUAAAGCAUAAAGCGAACUUCAAAACUUUAAUUUUUUGGCCACACAAACUUGAGCAAAGUAUGUCUUAUCUUUUUCACAAGAUUAUUCACUCUCAUUCUAAAUUCAUCGUGAUAUGUUAAGAAAUAACAAGUUUCACGAUGAACUAAAAAAGAACUCUCAAGCACGUUAACAUUAACGUUAGCAUAAGUUUUUGGAAAGAACGAAAAAGACCUUAAUUUAAAGAUUGAUGAUAUGUCAUAUGAAUGGUUAAAUUAUUUAGUUUAAAUUUUACGAAAUAUAAAUAAAUACACGGAUUCUAAAUAUAGAAAUUUGAUAUUCAUUUGCCAUAAAUAUCACUUUAAGAGUGAAAAUCCAGAAUACUAAACUAAAAUUAUAUUUCUUCACAAAAAUUGCAUCUAAAGAUGAGGAUAAAUUGAUGUUCAUCCGGACAUUGAAAAAGCACAAUAUAUCGUGAAGAUAUUCGAUAUAUUGAAAACCUCGCCGAUAUUCAUGUAGGAAGGCUAAACGAUUUUUUUAUGGCAAAAACUUCAACAACAACAACAAAAAAAGAGGCCUGGAAAAUUAUUAUUAUCAUAAUCGUGGUGGGAAUUCAAAAUUGAAAAUAAUUGAGAACGUCAUGCAUUCAUCGUUCGUUAUCCAGGUCUUGGAGCUUUGCUAACACCUAGGCGCAACCACUUAAGGCAGUGGCGGGUAUGGGUGACGUGGUCCACUCACAAGACGCCACGACCACCAAAGUGUACCUUGAAACGCGUGCUCUUAGAAAAUAGCACAGAGAUUCUCUCUCUCAGGGGAUAUGCUUGAAAUUUAUGAACAAAACAGAAGGAAAAAUAAAAACAAACAAGAGGCUAUUUUUGGUGUUGUCUGUGUGAAAGCCGCCAAAACAGCAAAUAUGCUGAUAAGGUUAGAAUGGGCCGAGCUCAGAUUAGCCACAAAGACUGUUCCUCUCUGGGCCCACUUAUCAAUAUUUUAACAUUUUUUUUAAUGGAGCUCGACAAUGAACAAAUUUUGAAGGUAAUUACUUGAUGUUAGUUAGAGAACCUCUAUGUCUAAGGGAACUACGAGUUCAAGGAAGCUUUGAGGUAUGCUCAUGUGACCCUACUUCUUGUUCUUUAUGCAUAAACAUAUUCAAGUUGCAUGUUCAAGGCUUGCCAUCUAAUCAUUAUAUAAUAUUUUGAUCAUCUAUUAUAAAAAUAUAAAAAAAACUAUGUAACUGGGCCUUGGUGCAAUAAGAACUUAAGCAUUAGCUUCAUGUAUGUAGGAAAAGUAGCAAAUAAUUUCAAUUGUAAAAUGAAUGCUUUGGUUUCUUUUCUUGUUAAUGCCGUUUGACUGGUUGUUUUGUCUUAGUGGUUCUUUGACCUCUCUUUGGUCUUUUUAUUGAAAGUUAUGUUGAGAAACUGAAAUUAACUUAAACGUAAAAGGAUUUUUUGAGUAAACAUAUUUCACAGCAUAAGAAUACUGCAGUUUUCCUCUCUUAUAUAUAUCUGAAAAACAAAGCUUACAAAAUAACAAUCUCCACAAUAACCACUAACACACAAGUGCAGAUUUUGUGGAGUUCAACUACCUUAAGCAACGGAAGCAAAUUUGAACGUGGUGAACAGACUAAACCACAACUUCUACAUUCUAGGACUUCAGCUUGACUUGGUCUCUACAUGGCCAUGUCAGCAUUAUUUAAUUAAAAAACUAAUUAAACUUAACUAAAUAACUUUUAACACCCUCCCUUAAACUGAUUUUUACGAAAAACAGUUUAGGAUCUCUACACCAUCACAUAAUCAUCUUCCUGUUCAAUGCUUUGAAAUGAACAAACUCCCAACAUGCUUCUCAGCUUCUCAAGCGCAGGUACCAUCACAUAAUCAUCUUCCUGUUCAAUGCUUUGAAAUGAACAAACUCCCAACAUGCUUCUCAGCUUCUCAAACGCAGGUUGCUUCAAAGGCUUAGUUAAGAUGUCUGCAACCUGCUCCCCACUCUUGCAAUAUUCAAGUACAAUCUUCCCAUCACUGCACAGGUCACGCAAAAAAUGAAAACGUACAUCAAUGUGUUUACUUCUCCCAUGCAUGACUGGAUUCCUCGAUAGCUUUAUAGUUGACAUGUUGUCGCAGUAGAUGGUUGUUGGUCCCUUUUGAACAUCACCAAGCACUUCAAAUAUUUUCCUAAGCGACAUAGCUUGACAGGAGCUUGCAGCUGCUGCUACAUAUUCAGCUUCUGUUGAGGAAAGUGUCACAAUUUGUUGCUUCUUUGAGGACCACGAUAUUGCACCAGAGUUGAGCAGAAAUGUGUGACCGGAAGUGCUCUUACGAUCAUCUAUAUCACCUGCAUAGUCACUAUCUGUGUACCCAACAAAACCAGAACCAUCUUCCCUUUUAUAAAACACACCAUAAUCAAUUGUCCCCUUUACAUACCUGAGAAUUCUCUUUGCUGCAUUGAGAUGCAUUUCAGUUGGUUUUUCCAUAUAUCGGCUCACAAGACUCACUGCAUACAUGAUGUCAGGCCUCGUGUAUGUUAAAUACAUGAGACUCCCAAUUAUCUGUUUAUAGAAAGUGCUGUCAACCUCCUUUCCACCUUUGUCUUUGCAUAGCUUUAAGCCAUGUUCAGCUGGAGUUCCAAAUGGCUUGCAGUCAUCCAUCUGAAACCUGUUAAGAAUGUCCUGUGCAUAUUUUUUCUGGUAGAUGAAAUUACCAGCAGUAGUUUGAAUGACUUCCAAUCCAAGAAAAUAGUGCAUUAAUCCUAGAUCAGUCAUUUCAAACUCCAUCAUCAUAGACUUCUUGAAUUCAUCAAACAUUUUAGCAUCACUUCCAGUGAAUAUCAAGUCAUCAACAUACAAGCAUACCAUGAGUAUUUUACCUUCUUCCUCAGUCUUGACAUAAAGUGUGUGCUCAAAAGGACAUUUGUGAAAUCCAAGCUUAGCAAAGUGAGCAUCUAUGCGACUGUACCAAGCUCGAGGUGCUUGUUUCAGUCCAUAGAGUGUUUUCUUCAGUUUGAACACCUUCUCUUCUUCUCCUUUUCUCUCAUAACCAGGUGGUUGAUCAAUGUACACCUCCUCUUGCAGGUUUCCAUGCAGGAAUGCUGACUUCACGUCUAACUGAAAAAUUUGCCAGGAAUUUUGAGCUGCAAGAGAGAUCACUAACCUAAUCGUGUCGUGCCUCGCAACUGGGGCAAACACCUCUUUGUAAUCAAUGCCAUGCUUCUGCUUGUAGCCCUUAGCUACCAAACGAGCUUUGUGCUUGUCAACCUCACCUUUUUCGUUCAACUUUGUUCUAAACACCCAUUUAACACCAAUGGUUUGCUUUCCCUUUGGAAGAUCAGUUAACUCCCAGGUUUGAUUCUUCUCAAUGGACUUGAUUUCAUUGUCCAUUGCUUCCCUCCAUUUCUCCUCUUUAACAGCCUCAGUAUAUGUGAUUGGAUCACUAUCUACAAGUAAUGCAAAGUGAGCAUUUUCAUCAUCAGAACUUGAAUAACUUACAUCGUAGUCCAUCAUCCAUGCUGGCCUCUUCCUUGAGUUCUCAUCUCUCAAAUUGUAUCUCUCUUCUUCAAACUGUUGAGAUGACUGAACUUCAAGUUGAGGUGGCUGCUGGGCUUGAGUUUCAGGAGCUGCUACCUCUUCAUUGUCUAAAUCAUCAUAAACUGGAAUUUGUUGUUGAACCGAUCUGUUCUCAGACCAAUUCCACAUAGUGUCUUCAUCAAAUAUCACAUCCCUGCUUACCACUAUCUUCUUUGUAACUGGAUUGUACAGUUUGUAUGCUUUUGAGACUUCACUUACACCAAGAAAAACACAUUUUUCACUUUUGUCAUCCAACUUCUUUCUUUUCUCAUCGGGGAUGUGUGCAUAUGCUAUGCACCCAAACACCCUAAAGUGAUCAACCGCAGGCUUCAAUCCACUCCAAGCUUCUUGAGGAGUCAUAUUCUUAACAGAAAAUGUGGGACUUCUGUUUAAAAUAUGAACUGACCAUAGCACAGCUUCAGGCCAAAACUUCUUGGGAAUUCUUCCUUUGACUAGCAGACUUCGAACCAUGUUGAGAAUGGUGCGAUUUUUCCUCUCACUUACACCAUUUUGUUGUGGUGUAUAGGCAGUGGUCAACUGUCUCUUGAUGCCUUUCUCUUUGCAAAAUGCAUCAAAUUCCUUCGAACAGUACUCUCCCCCACGGUCAGUUCUUAGAGUUUUAAUCUUCUUUUCUGAUUCAUUUUCAACUAGAGCUUUGAAGCUUUUGAAUGCUUCAAAUGCCUCUGAUUUUUCCUGCAAGAAAUAUACCCAUGUCUUUCUACUAAAAUCAUCAGUAAAGGAGAUGAAAUAUUUCUUGUUACCAUUUGAGAUGGGAUUUAUUGGUCCACAUAGAUCAGAGUGAACCAUCUCCAGGAUUUAUUGAGCCCUUGCUGCCUUGCCACUUGGAAAAGAGUCUCUUUUGUGCUUCCCAGUGAUGCAUUCUUCACACAUCUUUGAUGGAGGAGUUAUAUCAGGUAAGCCAGUGACCAUCCCUUUCUGGUGAAGUGUUCUCAAGCCAUUAAAAUUCAAAUGGCCAUAUCUGUAGUGCCAUCUCCACGGGUCAUCUUCUUUGGCAAAUAAGCAAGCCUGCAGAGUCUUGAUUUUCAAAGGAAACAAUCUGUUGGAAGACAUUUUCACAACAGCAAUGGACCCUCUUUUUGGGUCGUACACUUCCCACUCUCCUUUAUAGAUUGUAAUCCUAUAGCCUUUAUCUUGUAACUGACCAGCACUCAGCAAAUUUGUCUUCAAAUCAGGAAUAUAAAAAACAUUUGAGAUAGUUUCAAUAAAGUCAUUUUUAGUUUUGAUUUGAAUAUCUCCCUUACCCAUCACUUUCACUGUUGACUUGUCACCAAAACUCACUACCGUGUGAAAGCUUUCAUCCAAAUUAAUAAAGGAAGACUUACAUCCACUCAUGUGAUUGCUGCAGCCUGUGUCCACAUACCAUGUCUCCUGAUCAGUUUUUGUCAGUGCAUGAAAAGCCAUCAAAAGUGUCUCUUCCUCCUUCUUUUUCUCCACAAAAUUUGACUUUUCUCCUUUUUCUUUUGGUAACUUCGUGUAGCACUCAUUCUUGUAGUGCCCAAAAUUUCCACAUCUAUAACACUCCACUUUUGACUUAUCAAAGUGGUACGUUCCUUUUUCUUCAAAGUCAUCAUCUCUUUUGAAAACAUGAGAUGACUUGCUGUCAUCUCUAUGUCCAGACCGUCCACCUCCUCGAUGACCUCGACCACCUCUUCCUCUAUCACGUCCACCUCUUCCACGACCUCUUCCUCCUCGAGAACUUGAGGACUCAGAAACAAUGGAAGCUUUCAGAGCUGUUUGUUCUUCACUGGCAGUGGUGCGGUUAAGUCUUUGUUCAUGCACUAACAAAGAGCUUUGUAGUUCAUCAACUCGUAACUCAGCAACGUUCUUUGCCUCUUCAAUUGAACAGACAAUGUAGUCAAAUUUUGGAGUCAAUGAUCUCAUAAUUUUCUCCACAACUUUGACUUCUUCCAUGGUGCCACCAUUGGAUCUCAUCUUGCUUGCUAUUCCCAGAGUUCUAGCAAAGAAAUCAGUGAUGGACUCUCCUGAUUUCAUUUGUAAAGUUUCGAAGUCCCUUGUUAGAGUUUGAAGCACUGCACGCUUCACCCUCUCUGACCCUGCAUAUUUCUUCUUCAAAGAAUCCCAUAUUUGUUUGGAGGUCUCCUUCUCGAGUAUCGUCUCCAAGAUAGAUCGAUCAAGUGCCUGAAAAAGGUAAUUUUUCACCCUCAAGUCCUUCAGCUUCUGUUCAGCAACCCUCUUUUGUUGUUGUUCAGUCAACACAACUCCCUCUGCUGGGGCGUCAAUUCCUGAUUCCACAAGAUUCCAAUACUCCUUUGACCUGAGAAAAUUUUCCAUCAGCAUGCUCCAAUGGUCGUAGUGACCAUCAAAUCGUGGAAUCGCUGGUUGAAUAAAACUCUCAGUGGCUUUCUCUGUUGCCAUUGUUUCUUGCUGCUGCAAGACACAAUCUUUCACCUUUUUUUCAAGUUUGUUCAGGCCCAGAAGAGCUCUGAUACCAGAUGUUGAGAAACUGAAAUUAACUUAAACGUAAAAGGAUUCUUUGAGUAAACAUAUUUCACAGCAUAAGAAUACUGCAGUUUUCCUCUCUUAUAUACAUCUGAAAAACAAAGCUUACAAAAUAACAAUCUCCACAAUAACCACUAACACACAAGUGCAGAUUUUGUGGAGUUCAACUACCUUAAGCAACGGAAGCAAAUUUGAACGUGGUGAACAGACUAAACCACAACUUCUACAUUCUAGGACUUCAGCUUGACUUGGUCUCUACAUGGCCAUGUCAGCAUUAUUUAAUUAAAAAACUAAUUAAACUUAACUAAAUAACUUUUAACAAGUUAAUCAAAUAAAAUAAAAAUAAAACAACAAUUAGAAGGGUUGCAAUUAGAUAGGCUUGCUAGGCUCCAAGAGGUGCAAGACUGUCUUUUGAUUAAAGUUCAAGCUCCCAAGUCCAAAUUUGGGGCACCAACUAGCCUAUCUCAUUGCAGGCGCUUAACACUUGAAGGGACUGGCGCAAUGAUUUACUAGUAAAAUUUGUAAUAGCUUAAGACUUCGCUAGUAUCAUUUAGUAGUUACAAAUCACUUUACUUCGCCAGUAGUGAGUCCCAAUAUCGGCUGAAUUGCUCUUUCGCCAGUAUUAGUCUGUCGGUAUAAGCUAAAAUUGUAGUAGUGUAAGCUAAUUCUUGAUUUACUGUAAUUAUUCCCUUAUCGGUUAAAACUUCAAAUCAUCAAAGAAAAUCAAAGCACUCUCUAAGAAUUUCACCCUUUAAGAGUGCAUUGAGGCAAACCUAAAAAAAUUCUUCUUCAUCAUCAUCUUGUCACGCUUCCUGAAUCCACCAUAGGAGAUUUUAGUUUGGCCCUCUGGAUGUCCUCUUUUAGGUCUUUACGCACCGCUUCUUGGGGCUUAUCACUUGAGCUCCCAAAGAUCACUCUCUUAGCUUCAGCAAAACUUCCGUCGUGAUCUCGUUUGCGUUUCCCUAGGAUCUCCAAGGCCUCCAGCUGUUUUUGCAUCUCUUUAGAAUAAGAAGUUACCAUCUUUGAUAACUUUUCAUUUUCUGCCUGCAAUAUUUGAAGCUAGCGUUGAUUCUCCUCUGCUGUUUUUUCCUCUUUUUUUUUUUUUCAAUCUUUUGAUCUCACGCCGAUAUUCAUCAACCAAAUUCUGCUCUGCCACAACUAAGCUCUCAGUACUUGCACCUCAUAAGAUUUUGCAAUGAGGCGAUGCCCCACACUUGUGAUAGUUGUCGCAUUUUGCAAGCACAGUGCCACAACAUUGCUCACUAACCGGUUGUCAUCCCCCGUUCCUAGUAUGCAUACAUCCCUGGGAGUCACCAAACUCUUCGCAACUCCAAUGGCAACCUCGUUGUCAAGGAGUAACGAGUCGCUUUUUGUCACUGGUCCUCGUGAAGAAGCAAAGUAGGGUAUCCAGACUGGUGCAACUCCUUGCCCCUAUGUCUGUGUUGGCGGAGCUAGGUUAAGAUCCAAAGAAGAUGAGAAGGGAUACGACAUUUUCUUUCUGCUUUCUUUUUCUUUCAUUUUCUCUCUUUUCUCUUUCUUCUUUCCUUUCUCUUUUCUUUCUUUCUUUUCUCUCUUCUGCGUGGUUGUAAUUCUUCUUUUUCCUUUGUUUCCUUUAAUAGAUGAACCCUAGCACCAUUGCACCGUCUAAUUUUUCCGCAUUCCUUGAGCUCCACAGCCUUCUCGCUUUCCACCGUCUACAACUUUGUCGCGACUUGUGCAACGUCGUCCCUACUAUCCAUGGCACCCAUAAUUCCGCUUGUAGAUUUGUCGUACCUCUGCGCGUCGACACAUGUCUCCUCUCUCUAGGGGUGGGCAUUGGAUUUGUGGUUCAAAUUGAUUUAGGGUUGAUUAAAAUAAAAUGGCAGCCCUAGAAACAGUGACCAGGUAUCUAUCCCAUAUGACAUAAAACAUUUAAAAACAUCCAUGGGACUAUAUUUAAAAAAUCAACUUGAUAAUGUUUAGUUGGAUUGUAUAAUGUGUUUUGUUUUGUUUUGUUGGAUUAUAAAAUGUUUAAGUUUCUGUUUUUUUGUUUAUUUAUAAAAUCAUCCAUGGGACUUCAUUUUCGGUUCAAGGUUCCAUUUUUUUAAGAAACCAGUCCAAAUCGGACCAUGCCCACCCCUACCUCUCUGUCUCUUUUUUUGCUUUGUUUUCCUUCUCUCUCUCUCUCUCUCUCUCUCUCUCUCUCUCUCUCUCUCUCUCUCUCUCUCUUCCUUAUAUAUUCUCUCCUCUCUCUGUUUUUUUAUUUAAAUUUUUUCAAUUGUGAGUUUUGUAACAUGCAUGUUAUUUUAUUUAUGAACCCAUUACACGACUCCAAACUCACACAAAAAAAGACGACCCGAACCCAAGAAGACAUGUUUAUUAAAUGGGUUAGAUUCGGGUUGAGCAUUCUUGACACGUUUGUUAAUUGGAUUGGGUUAAAUAAAUCAAUGACAGCAUAAAAUGAACACAGGGUUUGUGAAAAAUGUGAUAUUUUCAAUGACUAUAUUAAUAAAUCUUUAUUUUUUGAGUAGUUAGAUUUUUGCACAAAGCUUACCUUCCUCAACUGAUAGCUGCAUUGAUCUUUUGUCUAGCUCAACGGCGUGUCUGCUAAGCUCAGAUGGUGAUAAUUGACGAAGCGCUGGCAACAUGAUGAACGAAGAGCAUUUUCAGUGCUGGCAAAACUAAAGGCAGAAAAAUUGUAUGAAAUUUUUUAAAUUGAAAGAGCAGUGCCAUAAUAAAAUGACCUACUCUGGAUCUAUUCUCUCUGAUCAGAAUCAUCAAAUUGCUUCAAGAGGUUCUUGAAAUGUAGAAACCCUUCUGUCCUUUGCUCAUCAUGGUUCUUCUCAGAACCAACCAAGUGAGGAACCAGAGAUUCAGGAGUGAAUCUAAGUUGCCUGGAAUGAGCAGCUGGCAAUCCAUUGGAACAGGUGGUUUACCAGGUGAAAAAUCUACCGGAGAAGCCAAGGGCAUUGGUGCGAACGCAGAUGUCUCAUGUUCCUGCUUCUUGGUUCUGUCUCUAGGUAGGUCUUGCUGCUUUUGCAAACAAUAUCGUUUGAAAUUGAGAGAGUAAGUAUUUUGUUCUCACACCUUUAACUCUUCGCUUGCCUAAUGCUGAAUCUAACUUCCUCGCACUACCACCAUGCAUGAGCUGAUCACUUGCACUGCUGAUGCUCGUGAAUUGGUGACAAGGGGAGCUCCGUGGCAACUCAGGGUUGAGUAUCUUAGUUCCCAAAACCUUAAUGGGAUGCGCGACUGGUCGUCCUAGAAAAACAUACUUGUUAGGGUUAGAGGUCCAUCGGAGUAGUCAUUAGCUGCUAAUCAACCCGAGAGAGAGAGAGAGAGAGAGAGAGAGAGAGAGAGAGAGAGAGAGAGAGAGAGAGAGAGAGCAAAGAAGAAAUGUGGGGCGUGUUUUUUUUUUCCUAAUCUUAUAAUUAAGCGUGUGUUUUCUAAAUCGGGGCAUGUGAGUUGUAUUAGUCGGGUAAUGAGAGUAUUAAAAACUUUCGUUUAAUAUAAUUCAGUAAUUAAGUAAUACAAGUUGACAUCAAACAAAUGACAUUGACUAUUUACUCAUAUCCAUAGUCUAAUACCAUGUACCAAACAUACCUAUACGAGCUUUUGCCACAUGACUCAUCUAACAUGACAAUCCAAGUCCACAAACACAAGCAUACACACUAAGACAGGACACUCAUAUGCAUGUGAACUACAAGAACGACUGCAUAAUAUCUUGUAUAGAAACAAGACAAUACAACCGGCGCUUAUUACAUUGGAACUACAGUUCACAUUACAUACCAAAUUUAGUAUAACACAGAUAGGAAUUCAAACAUUUGACUUGGCAUAACCCUCAAAUGCUUGGCCUCACAUUGAGACGGGAUAAAAGCUUUUGACCCAGAGACUUAUCUGCCUGCAUUGCCAAUACAAGCACAUAACAUCAGAACAACAUGGCUUAUUCUAAAACUAACCCUUCAUAUUCCAGUAUCACAUCAUCACGUUGCUUAACGGUACAAAUUCACAAAUGCAAUAAUUUAUAAAUAGACUCACCUGAGACCAGUAUGAGAUCCAAAUGCUGCGAAUCUCAUGGGUGACACGAGGGUCUGAUAGGGCAUCCACCCAUCGGCGGAUGAAUCGCUCUUGCCUGCAUGAAGAUGCAAGAUUAAGAACAAUGUUUAAAUACAAUUAUUUUCAUACAGAGACAUCACAGGGUUGCCAGGUACCUGUCUGGCGCCCAAGAUCUGUAUCUCUCUCCAGGUUGCUUAAAGUUGUUCUCCUUCUCAAUGACGCACUGAAUAACCAAAACAAAGUUCCCAUAUGAAUUAUUAUGUGCAGAAAACAAGGAAAAUCCAGAAAUGCAAUCGGUGCAUAUGUAUACACACACACACCUACACUAGUGUAUGUGCCCAGGUGACAGAAAAAGGGACACAGCUGGAAGAAAAGAUGAUGUACAGACGAGACGGGGAAACUAAGGUAUAUUAUUUAAAGCAAUAUUCCUCAAUUGAUAGAAACUGACCUUCUCACGCUUUCCAGAAAGGAUAUUAGAAGGAAUGGGGUAGCGCUCAGCAUGACGAACAGGAUCAUGCCUUGAAGGGAAGUAAUUAACCUGAAAAUAACAGUAUAGCAACUCAUCAGAGAAAACUCAAAUGAAUAAACAUGCAUACAAUUGGAGUUGUCCUCCCAGAAUAUUGAGCAAUCGAAGUAUACAAGGGCCAAAGCGAUUCCAUAUGAGACAUAACAAUUGAGUAAAAUAAUAAUACCUCCUCAUCCCUGUGCAUGAAAUUCAUGAAUCCCUCAUGAUGAUUGUUAUGAUGAGGACACUUGGGAGCAUUCACUGGGAGCUGCAGAUAGUUCGGGCCAAGACGGUGCCUCUGAGUAUCAGAAUAUGCGAAGAUUCGAGUUUGGAGCAUCUUAUCAUCUGAAUAGUAGAUACCAGGGACAACAUGGGCAGGGUUAAACGCAAGUUGUUCAUUCUCUGCAAAGAAGUUAUCGAUGUUUUUAUUCAGAACCAAACGGCCAACUGGCUGCAGGGGAAGGAUAUCUUCAGGCCAGGUCUUAGUUAAGUCAAGAGGGUCAAAGUCAAAUCUGUCCUCGUGAUCAGGAUCCAUUGUCUGAAUAUAAAGUUUCCACUCAGGGUAGUUGCCAGCUGCAAUGGAAUCAUAGAGGUCCUUGGUAGCAUGGCUGUGAUUAGCUCCUCCAACCUUAAUAGCUUCAUCCUCCAACAAACACUUGACUCCACAAGUAGGUUUCCAAUGAAAUUUCACAUAGUGUACUUUCCCUGCCUUACUGAUGAGGGUAUAGGCGUGAACACUAGAGCCUUCCAUGUGCCUGUAAUCUUGUGGAACUCCCAGAUCAUCAUAAAAGAAGGCGAACGUGUGCAGGCUUUCUGGAAGGUGGGAGAAGAAGUCAAGGAUCCUCCAAGUCUCUUGGAUGUGCGACUUGGGGUUCGGUUUGAAAGCACGGAUCGCGUCCGGGAAUUUCAUUGCAUCACGGACAAAAAAGACGGGGAAAUUGUUUCCAACCAGGUCAAAAUUACCCUGCGUUUAAGAAGAACAAAGUCACCACAUGAGUAAUUACUACACAGCAAAAUUAACCCGAAUAAAUUCGUAUAUGGUGAAUAAUGCUACAUGAGCAAUCUAUUACAGCCAGACGACUACCCCCUAUAAUUUAAAGGAAAAUGAAAAGGCAGAGCUAAGAAAGGAAUGAAUGCAAUCUUUCAUUAAAGUCACGAGACUGCAAGAUUUCCAAUAACUAUAAUUAGUCAAAUAUGACUUGAGUACUUCAGAUUUUGUCACCACAGCCACCUCAGCUGCCACUACAGAUACCAAUACAAAUCCAUUAAAUAUGCCUACACUAUUGAGAAAAUAAAUAAAACAUUGAUAAUAUAUAGGUAAAAACCUCACCUCUCUGGUGUAAAACUUCACUGCAAAACCACGAGGAUCCCUCAG
rnacentral:lncRNA from 1 species